GACGAACGCUGGCGGCGUGCUUAACACAUGCAAGUCGAACGGAAAGGCCCUGCUUUUGUGGGGUGCUCGAGUGGCGAACGGGUGAGUAACACGUGAGUACCCUGCCCUUGACUUUGGGAUAACUUCAUGAAACUGGGGCUAAUACCGGAUAGGAGCUCCUGCUGCAUGGUGGGGGUUGGAAAGUUUCGGUGGUUGGUGAUGGACUCGCGGCGUAUCAGCUUGUUGGUGGGGUAGUGGCUUACCAAGGCUUUGACGGGUAGCCGGCCUGGGAGGGUGAGCGGCCACAUUGGACUGGGAAUGAGACCCGGACUACUCCGGGAGGCAGGGGAGGAGAAGGGUACAUAGGGGGCGGAGCCCUGAUGUAGCAAAGCCGCGCGGGGGAUGAGGGGCUGGGGGUUGUAACCCGAUUUCGCCUGUGACGAGGCGUGAGUGACGGUACUGGGUGAAGAAGCACCGGCUAACUACGUG
rnacentral:rRNA from 1 species